CGGGACGUGGCGCAGCUUGGUAGCGCGCCUGGUUCGGGACUAGGAGGUCGCGGGUUCAAAUCCCGCCGUCCCGACCA
rnacentral:tRNA from 2 species